CACCAUGCGUAACCAUGCCUCACCACACGCUACACGUACGCCGUCAGUACGUCAGUGUGUGUAAGGGUUUCG